rnacentral:rRNA from 1 species
UACGUAGGGGCCUAGCGUUGUCCGGAUUUAUUGGGCGUAAAGAGCUCGUAGGCGGUUUGGUUGAGUCGGGUGUGAAAUCUCCACGCUCAACGUGGAGGGGCCACCCGAUACUGCCAUACUAGAGUCCGGUAGGGGAGAGUGGAAUUCCUGGUGUAGCGGUGAAAUGCGCAGAUAUCAGGAAGAACACCCGUGGCGAAGGCGGACUCUGGCGG